GUGUCAGCCGCCGCGGUAAUACGAAGGGUGCAAACGUUGCUCGGAAUCAUUGGGCGUAAAGCGCACGUAGGCGGCUUCGCAAGUCGGAUGUGAAAUCCCUCGGCUCAACCGAGGACGUGCAUCCGAAACUGCAAAGCUUGAGUACAGAAGAGGAUCGCGGAAUUCCCGGUGUAGAGGUGAAAUUCGUAGAUAUCGGGAGGAACACCAGUGGCGAAGGCGGCGAUCUGGGCUGAUACUGACGCUGAGGUGCGAAAGCGUGGGGAGCAAACAGGAUUAGAUACCCCUGUAGUCC
rnacentral:rRNA from 1 species